rnacentral:rRNA from 1 species
CCUACGGGAGGCUGCAGUGAGGAAUAUUGGUCAAUGGGCGCAAGCCUGAACCAGCCAAGUCGCGUGAGGGAUGACGGUCCUAUGGAUUGUAAACCUCUUUUGUCGGGGAGCAAGGCCCGCCACGUGUGGCGGGAAGGAGAGUACCCGAAGAAAAAGCAUCGUGUACCUCCGUGCCAGCAGCCGCGGUAAACGGGAGGAUGCGAGCGUUUCCCGGAUUUUUUGGGUUUAAAGGGUGCGUAGGCGGAAGGUUAAGUCAGCGGUAAAAUGUCGGUGCUCAACACCGGCCUGCCGUUGAAACUGGUCUUCUUGAGUGAGCGAGAAGUAUGCGGAAUGCGUGGUGUAGCGGUGAAAUGCAUAGAUAUCACGCAGAACUCCGAUUGCGAAGGCAGCAUACCGGCGCUCAACUGACGCUGAGGCACGAAAGCGUGGGGAUCGAACAGGAUUAGAUACUCCGGUAGUC